rnacentral:lncRNA from 1 species
UUGCGACAACGGCUGUGACUGAAGACAACACAGGUGUGUAUGUGGUUUUCCAAUUCAAGCACAGAGGCCACGACUUUGAACUGGGUCGUGUUUUUCUGUCCAAGUCGGAAAGAGCUGCUAUUGCUGACAAGCUGCGAGAAGGCGUGUCCAUGGAUGCAGUACUGGAUAAUGUGCGGUCCAACGUGGAUGAGACAUUCCACCGCAUUAACCUGUUAAGCAAGCAGGAUCUCAGCAACAUAAUGAGGGAUGCCAGAGUCUCAAAGACCGAGCGACUGCAUGAUAAUGACUAUGUGAGCGUGCAACUCUGGGUUGAGAGGAUGCAUAGUGAAAAGGAGAACCCAUUGCUCUUCUUUAAACACCAAGGACAACCUGACAAAAA